rnacentral:rRNA from 1 species
AUUGAACGCUGGCGGCAGGCCUAACACAUGCAAGUCGAACGAGUGGCGGACGGGUGAGUAAUGUCUGGGAAACUGCCUGAUGGCGGGGGAUAACUACUGGCAACGGUAGCUCAUACCGCAUACCAUCGGAUGUGCCCAGAUGGGAUUAGCUAGUAGGUGGGGUAACGGCUCACCUAGGCGACGAUCCCUAGCUGGUCUGAGAGGAUGACCAGCCACACUGGAACUGAGACACGGUCCAGACGCCUACGGGAGGCAGCAGUGGGGAAUAUUGCACAAUGUGCGCAAGCCUGAGGCAGCCAUGCCGCGUGUAUGAAGAAGGCCUUCGGGUUGUAUAGCACUUUCAGCGGGGAGGCGGUACCCGCAGAAGAAGCACCGGCUAACUCCGUGCCAGCAGCCGCGGUAAUUC